rnacentral:rRNA from 1 species
UACGGGGGGGGGCAAGCGUUGUUCGGAAUUACUGGGCGUAAAGGGCUCGUAGGUUGCCAACUAAGUCAGACGUGAAAUCCCUCGGCUUAACCGGGGAACUGCGUCUGAUACUGGAUGGCUUGAGAUUGGGAGAGGGAUGCGGAAUUCCAGGUGUAGCGGUGAAAUGCGUAGAUAUCUGGAGGAACACCGGUGGCGAAGGCGGCAUCCUGGACCAACACUGACACUGAGGAGCGAAAGCCAGGGGAGCAAACAGG